rnacentral:misc_RNA from 1 species
UGGAAGCACUAACACCCCUUCAAGCAAUGCACCCAGGAUUCGUAGGCGAAGUGCAGAUGAUGCUAGUGGUGGAAGGAGUGCAGCUGCUUACCCUCGUCCCUCUGCUUCCCCUCUUUGUGCAUGAAAAUGGAAUGAAGUUGAUGAAAGCUGUGUCUCUUUAUAGCUCAAUACGAUGCAGGCGGGUUAGCAACUAUCUUAGUGAAUCAGGGCAUUCAAGUAUAAUUGUCCAAUGACUAUACAGUUCAUGGUUCCGCAGAUGUAUUUGAAAUCUACCUUCUGCUGACAAAAUUUCCAGGUCAGCCUGUGACAUGAGUUCGCACGUUGUUACUCCUCUUAGAUCUACCGAAAUGUGACCCUUAGGGUCUGUUUGGAUGAGGGCGAGGGAGGGGUAAAUAAAGGUAUGAAGGGAUAAUUAAUUAUUUUAUCCUUGUUUGGGAAGAGGUGAGUUAAUGGGGGUAAGGGCAAGUAAGGGUAAGCCUUAUCCUCCCUUACCCCUCAAAUCUCAAUUUUUUUUACUCCAUAUUUGGGGGGGGGGGGGGGGGGGGAAAUUUUUU